GCACCGGGUGUGGGAGGGGGGUGGGGGGUGGGGGUGGGGGGUAUCGGGGAAACUGGGGAAGAUGGGAGAGCUGGAGGAGAGUCGUGGGGUCCGAGGAGCACCUCGGCAUCUGGAGUCUGGCAGGAAUGUUGAAGGACUGAGGGGCUAGCUCAGGCAGAGCAAAGGCAUCGCAAAGGCUGGAAAACAUCGGAGUGAAGCUGAAGGGCCUGAGCUAGGGUUGGAGAGGAAUGGGGAGCCAGACAUUCAUCCCGGUUACUUUUGGUUACAGGACGUGGCGGCUGGUCGGAUAAAGGGGAGCUGCUGGGAAGGGUUCGACCCCAGACCUGGGCAGUGAAGGUAUAGCUGGCAGCAGUGGGCAGGUGAGGACCGCCGUCUGCUGGGCAGGUGAGUCUCCUUCUUCUCUCUUGGCCUCGCUCCACUGACCUUCUAAACGAAGGUUUAGAGAGGGGGCCUGGUGAGAAGAAGCGGCUGGCCUCGCAGCAGAAUGGCACAUAGAAAGGCAGGAUAGUUAGCAAAGGAGACAUCGUCUCGGGGGGAGCCGAGACAGAAGGAGGCUGGGGGACCAUUGGCGACCCCAGGUGGAAAGAGCUCUUAGAGAGAAGAAAGAAGAGGUGCAGGGUUGCCAGUAAAGACUGAGGCCGCUGCCUCCAGGGAGGUGAUAGGAGUCCUUGGAGACAGUGGCAGAGACCAUGGGAUCCAGCAAGAACAGAAGCAUUCUAGGCUGGGGUCAAACAGGGCAAGAUGGGGUCACAAGACACAGAUGGGUCCCCAGCCGCCACAACAUCCCACCCACCGUAAUUCACUUAGAAGAAGGUUCAAGAGUGGCUCUGGCAAAGUCCCAAGUUUGCCAGAGCCUCAAUAACUGGAGAAUGGAAAAGAAGGGCAGUGCAGGGUGUCACCAGAAGGGGAGUGGGGGCUGCAGGUAUCGGACUCCAGAGGGAUUUUACAGCAAGGAGGCUGCAGUGGGUCCAGCCUGCAGACACACCAUUCCCAUGAGGCACUGCGGCCCAGGGACUGGUGCGGAAAGGGCCCACAGUGGACUUGGUACACUGUAUGCCCUAACCGCUCAGUCCCUGGGUCUGGCAUGACAGACAGAACAUUUCCAGGGGAGUCAAGGGCACAGGAUGAAGCCAGACGAGGCGAGGCAGGCGGGGCAGAAUGAAUGAGUUUCUAGGGAGGGAGGUUGGGUGCAGGUAGAGCGAGUAGCUGGGGUGGUGAGCCAGGGAGGCACUGGCCUCCAGAGUCCGUGGCCAAGGAGGGCCUUGCGGGCGGCGACGGAGCAGUGAUCGGUGUCUCGAAGAGCUCGGACUGGAGACUAGGGUAAGUGUCUGUCCCGCUCGUGGUCACCCAGUCUCCUCCCACGCAAGUUCAAUUAACUCAUGUCUUCAUUUCUCCCUAUAGCCAGGUCUCCAGCAGAGGUGGAUGUGCCUGCCAGUCACUGAAGGCGAGGAUGACAGGUGUGGUCAAUGUGACAGAAAGACAUGACAUGGUCCGGUGUGAUGGAGAGGACAGAAGGGCAGUCAUCCAGCCUUCUUGGUGAGCAUACUCCCUGCCACAGGGCUAGUCCGCUCAACCACCUAAUUGUCCACCCACUCACUCAGGAUUCUGUCCUUUGCAGAACACCAUGGGCUGGCGCCUUGUCGUAGAAGCCGUCUGUUCUUUCACUUUUCCCAAAGAGCUAACACUUCUCUGCUGCUCUCUGGAUCCUCCUCCCCCUACCUUGAACCCUCAAGAUGAAAGGUGAGUUCUCUUCUGCCCCAUGUGGGUGGGAGAGGGUGGGAUGCCAAGGACAGGGGUCUCAUUCUCUCCCACCCAUAGAAAUGGUGCUACCCAGCUCAUGUCUGGGCCUUUGAAUCCGGGGACUUCUUUAAGUCCGUCUCGUUCUGAAUCAAGAAGAUGCUGCAAUCAGAACCACUACACUACCUGCCUCAGGAAUCUGCUCCAAGGUGAGCUGGGGCACCCUUUGGAAGCUUGCCAAGCCCACUCCCCACCCCACCCCCCGCCCCACCUCAUUUGUCUUUAUUCUCUUUGCAGGUGAAGCUGAAAGAACAGAUGGUGUCAACAUUUUGAAAGAGCAGACUCAUAGCACCCACCCACCCCUGAGAAUCCAUCUUCAUGGCCAACUCUGCCUGACCCGGGAGACCACCACCCACAUCAUCCUGGAGCCAAGCCUCUACCCCGGGAUGACUUCAUCAUCUCCCUCCUGUCUUUUUCUUCUUCCUCCUUUCCUGUAAUUCUGUUUCUUUCCUUUUGUUCCUUCCUUGCUUGAGAGACUCAAAGCACCCGUGACUCUGUUUCCCCAUUUACCCCCUUUUGAAUUUGCACUAAGUCGAUUGCACUGGUUUGGAGUCCCGGAGAUAGCUUUGAGUCUCUCCGUAUGAAUGUAUACAGCGAGUGUGUAAACCUCUUUGGCAAUGCUGCCCCAGUACCCACCUGUCGUCCAUCUCCGUCUGAGGGCAACUGGGUGUGGCCGUGUGCUUGAGGCCUCGCCUUCCCCUCGCCUAGUCUGGAAGCAGUUCCAUCAUAAAGUGUUCAACAUGCCCUACUUCAUCCUUUGCCCCUCCUCACCAGGGCCUCACCAGAGGUCCUGGGUCCAUCAAUAAAUACAGUUACAGUCAUU
rnacentral:lncRNA from 1 species